rnacentral:lncRNA from 1 species
AUAGCUUCAAAGGUAGAUUGGGGUGGAGAUAGUAGAAAAUACCAUCACUUAAGGGGCUCAGGCUAGAAAGUUAGGAGGAGUUAAGAUAUAGAAGAGAAAGAAUGUAGGACAUCUCUAGGCAUAUGGGUUACAAAGAGACCAGGAAGUCAGAUUUCAAGAAAGUUUAAAGAAUAGAAAUUCCCUAUGUUGGUCUUUGAGAAACUAAGAAAAAUUUGCUAGUCUAAUGUUUCUUUUUCUUUCUUUCCUUUUUUUUUUUUUUUUUUUUUUUUNCCUUUUCCAGGGCCGCAUCUGCAGCAUAUGGAGGUUCCCAGGCUAGGGGUCUAAUUGAAGCUGUAGCUGCCAGCCACAGCCACAGCCACAGCCAUGCCAGAUCCCAGCCGUGUCUUUGACCUACACCAUAGCUCAUGGCAACGCCGGAUCCUUAACCCACUGAUGGAGGCCAGGAAUCGAACCUGAAACCUCAUGGUUCCUCUUCGGAUUCGUUAACCACUGAGUCACGACGGGAACUCCCAGUCUAAUGUACAAAUUAUAUGCUAAAAUACCUUCAAGCAUUCCAAGUAUUUGUUACAAGCUCUAGCUGUAGUUAACCUAAAGGUUUAAAUGGGAAUUCAGUUGAAAUAAAAUUUAAUGUUCAAGUUUAAAACUUCCUGCAGUGGCCAAGGGUUAGAUUUUAUCACAGAGGGGAGCUUUGGACCUCAACCUCCUAAAAUUUGCCUUAUCAACAUAACCAACAGGGAAAUCCAUUUCUGAGGCAAAACAAGCUAUAGAUCUGAAAUGAAAUAGAUAAUCAAAAUGCUGAAGAGGAAAAUAAAAAAAGCCAAAGGGGAAAUAGGAUAUUUUUUUCAUGAGCAUUGCUUCCAAUGCUUUUUUCAAUAUCCCAGACCAAUUUGUAGGUGACAUAGUAGCUAUGAACAAAAGUGUUAUGACUGCUUGACUUGCUGAUUGCAAAGUGACAAAACUCAGCCCUCUACAGAGUUAAUCUGAAAUAGCAACUUUCCAAAAUUAGAACAUUUGUCGGGAGAGUUAGAAAAACGGGGGCAGGUGGAGCAAAAUAAAAGCAAGUGGAUUUUUUUAUGGUCUUGAUCUCCCUUUGCAUUUGAAAAUGUGACCACCAGAAGAGCUAUUACUAGUGUGGGUAUCACACCUGAUCCUGUCUGAUCAGCUACUUUUUGAUUUGAGUUUCUGCUUCUAGACUUUCUAGUGCUCUUCAUGGUCUGCAUGGUGCCAUUGCUGCUUAAAAGAAAUUGUGCAUUGCAGUUUUCUCUGUCUUCCGUACACCCCCAUAAAGCCCUGUGUCUCAUUUCAUCUUUCAAUCAAUCAUUGAAAUUAAGCUCACUGUUAAAACAUGUCCCUGACCACUAUCCUAGCUCAGUUUUAAAAGGUACAGUCAGUUAAACAGCCGAUUAUCUCUGCAAUAUUUUGUUGGCAUUUACGUAUCCUAGAUUAUGGAGAUUUUUCUGGAAGCAUGUCAUAGAGCUAAGUUAAUCCUUUACAAGAUUAGUAUAAGUCAUACUACAACAAUUCAGUGGGUAACGAUAUAUCAUAGUGUUACUGCCCUUCAGUAGUUUUCAGUUGAGAAGGUGAAGUAAGGUUAGAGGUGAAGAGGUCUUUAACUAUACGAGCUUUUCAAAGACCUAUAACCUCUCCAAUCAAGUUCUAAAAUAAUCUGUUUGUACUAUUUUUUAAGUGUAAUUAAUAAAUUAAUUGAUUUUCAUGGUUGUUUCCCACUUGCGAUUUUGUUACCUUUUAAACAGACUUGCUUGCUUUUAUUCAAAUUAACAAAAGUAUGUGCUAAGUAUGUGUAAGGUACUACCGAGAACACAGAGGCAUUCAAAAAUGAAUAGUCCCUCUUCUGACUAUAUGCUUAAUAAAGUAAUGAAACAGAGAUGUAUAUGACUGUAAAUAAGCAGACUCUUAGUUGGGUCCCAUAUGAGUAAUUGAUGUGAAAAUCAUGUCAUAGAAUUCAUCUUUUAAAAUUGCUUAAAUUGCCCAUGACUUUUUGUGUGCAUGGCUUUUUAAGUGUUCCACUUUCUUUCAGCAAGUCCCAAUGCAGAAGUGCAUUGUCUUCUGAACAGAGUGCUGUUUAGUUGGGUAUCAGAUGAGGUUGUUGGCGUGUUUAUAAGGUAUUUUAAUACAAAAAGCAAACAACAAAAUAGCAAAACAAGAUAGGACACAAUUAAAAACACACACUCACACAAACCAUGUUCCUAUGUUAGGUUUGAUGUGUUUAUUUGAAGGUUCACAAUUUAAAUGCUGUAUGAUGUAUCUUCACUUUAUUAAAAUACUAUGACAGCUGCCUUAGGAGAAAUGCAAACAAAGGGUUCUGGGGUUUAAAGGAGAAAAAGCUCAUACCAAAAUAGUUUAGAAAGAAACUUUUAAAGGAAAUUGAAUUUGAGAUUUUAAGAACAGUUUUGAUUUGACAAACUAAGCUUUCCAAUACAAGCAAGUGCAGUCUGGGCAAAGCACACAACUUGAACAAACAAACAAAAAAUCAAAAUGUCUAAAUGUAUUGUAACUAGCCCUUUCUAUCAGAAGUUUAGAGUAUGAAUUGAACAUUAGGAAGUGAUUAUGUCCAGAAGGGCAGGUUAGACAUUGUUAUGAGGGAGAGAAGUUUACACUGAACUGUAAAGGUCACUUGGAGGAGAGUACCUUAGUUGUGGUUUAGUUGUAUGAAUUGACUUAUAAAAAACUAGAGUUCUUAUAAAAAACUAGAGAGGAGAAAGACUUGAGACGUAUUGUGCAGAAGGAUGAUGGAGAUAAGGAGAGCUGGAACUGGGAGUGUGGUAUUGAAAACAGCAAAGUACAGGGAAGACCCAAGAAAUGUUGCUGUGUGGAUUUUGUCCCCUACUGAUAAGAUUGAUACUGACAAUGGGAGAAAAAUUUGCAUCUCAAUCACACAUUAGGUCAACUACAGCUUCUUGAAUAAAGGUAGUCAGUCACUUAUUCAGGUGGGUAUAUAGGUAUAUUAUAUAGUAUAAAAUACACAGAGAUUAUAACUACUAAAUUGCUCAUAAAAUAAAACUUUAUUUUUCCCUUUUCCUAGGAUUCAUUCAAAACACGGAUAAAGUAACAGUCCAAAUGUUUAUUCCUUAGUAAUAUUUUACAUGUAUCUCAUUUGGCAGUAUCUCUACACUUGUGUCUGUAUGUUGGAUCUAACUUAUAUCUUUAAUUUUAUGUGGUAUGCAUUGUAGUCUCUUCAGUGAAAGGAAGUUAAAUUACUACAAAGGGAUUUAUAAUCCUUCUUAAGUGAUGAAAUUUGUUAGUAAGCCUUUUAAAUCUAGAAUAUAAUUAAGUUCAUCACAAUUACUUUAGAUCAAUAGUUCAUCUGUGGUUAUGGGGAAUGUGCUUUAGUAAUGUAUUAUGCCAUUAUUAUUAUUAAUUUUGUAUAUUACUUGAUAGAAAAAUAAGGUCAUUAUGAAAGUGUUCUUGCAUUCAUCCAUACAUUCAUUUAUCUAAAUCUAUCUCAUUUUUGACUUUUGAUCAGAUCAGUUGUGUUUAGUCUUUUCAAGACAAAAACCUCACUAAUUUAAAAAGAACAAGGCUUUCUCAUUUUUUAUGAAGAAUAUAAUUUCUCAUGAUUUUAUCAAGUUUUUCUCUUCCUUUCCUUUUCUUUUCUUUAGAAAUUGAUUUCAAGAUCGGAGUUCCUGUCGUGGCUCAGUGGUUAACAAAUCUGACUAGGAACUGUGAGAUUGUGGGUUCAAUCCCUGGCCUUCGCUCAGUGGGUUAAGGAUCUGGUGUUGCCGUGAGCUGUGGUGUAGGUCACAGACUUGGUUCAGAUCCCACGUUGUUGUGGCUGUGGUGUAGUCUGGCUGCUAAAGCUCUGAUUCAGCCCCUAGCCUGGGAAUUUCCAUGCCG